CUUUUUCUGAGCUUAGUUUACUGUUAAACGAGCAAUGCCGGGUACCAGCAUUUUACUGUUAGGAUAUAAUUAGAUUUGGACUUUCCGAAAACGUUGCAUACAUGACGGUUUAUCAGAUUCAGGAAGUUCAGAAACACUCAUAUAAUUUCAAUUUGAAAAGAAGACACAGUAAGCAAACAUGACAGAAAUUGAAGAUAUCCCGAGAGAUGAUAUUAUAAAACAUAACAUAGAGGCUUUCUUACCGUAUAUCUGCGAGUGCGUGAAAGCCACUGAUUUGUUAGUACACCUGCACUACUUUUCUAGAG
rnacentral:lncRNA from 1 species